rnacentral:rRNA from 1 species
UAGGGAAUCUUCGGCAAUGGGGGGAACCCUGACCGAGCAACGCCGCGUGAGUGAAGAAGGUUUUCGGAUCGUAAAGCUCUGUUGUUAAGGAAGAACGAGUGUGAGAAUGGAAAGUUCAUGCUGUGACGGUACUUAACCAGAAAGGGACGGCUAACUACGUGCCAGCAGCCGCGGUAAUACGUAGGUGGCAAGCGUUGUCCGGAUUUAUUGGGCGUAAAGCGAGCGCAGGCGGUAAAUUAAGUCUGAUGUGAAAGCCCCCGGCUCAACCGGGGAGGGUCAUUGGAAACUGGUUGACUUGAGUGCAGAAGAGGAGAGUGGAAUUCCAUGUGUAGCGGUGAAAUGCGUAGAUAUAUGGAGGAACACCAGUGGCGAAGGCGACUCUCUGGUCUGUAACUGACGCUGAGGCUCGAAAGCGUGGGUAGCAAACAGG